GCCUAACACAUGCAAGUCGAGGGGUAAGGUCAGCUUGCUGAAUACACGACCGGCGCACGGGUGAGUACACGUUUGCAACCUACCUCUAACUGGAGGAUAGCCCGAAGAAAUUCGGAUUAAUAUUCCAUAAAGUCACUUUAAGGCAUCUUUUAUUGAUUAAAGCUCCGGCGGUUAGAGAUGGGCAUGCGUGUCAUUAGCUAGUUGGUGAGGUAACGGCUCACCAAGGCCACGAUGACUAGGGGGUCUGAGAGGAUGAUCCCCCCACACUGGUACUGAGACACGGACCAGACUCCUACGGGAGGCAGCAGUGAGGAAUAUUGGGCAAUGGACGCAAGUCUGACCCAGCCAUGCCGCGUGCAGGAUGACUGCCCUAUGGGUUGUAAACUGCUUUUGUUUGGGAAGAAACCCCCGAUCGUGAUCGGGGCUGACGGUACCAUACGAAUAAGCAUCGGCUAACUCCGUGCCAGCAGCCGCGGUAAUACGGAGGAUGCAAGCGUUAUCCGGAUUCAUUGGGUUUAAAGGGUGCGCAGGCGGAAUAUUAAGUCAGUGGUGAAAUCCUGCAGCUUAACUGUAGAACUGCCAUUGAUACUGAUAUUCUUGAAUAUAGUUGAGGUAGGCGGAAUGUGUAAUGUAGCGGUGAAAUGCUUAGAUAUUACACAGAACACCAAUUGCGAAGGCAGCUCACUAAACUAAUAUUGACGCUGAGGCACGAAAGCGUGGGUAGCAAACAGGAUUAGAUACCCUGGUAGUCCACGCUGUAAACUAUGAUCACUCGCUGUUGGCAAUACAUCGUCAGCGGCUGAGCGAAAGCAUUAAGUGAUCCACCUGGGGAGUACGGUCGCAAGAUUGAAACUCAAAGGAAUUGACGGGGGCCCGCACAAGCGGAGGAACAUGUGGUUUAAUUCGAUGAUACGCGAGGAACCUUACCUGGGCUUAAAUGCAGAGCGACGUCCGCCGAAAGGUGGAUUCCUUCGGGCGAUCUGCAAGGUGCUGCAUGGUUGUCGUCAGCUCGUGCCGUGAGGUGUCGGGUUAAGUCCCAUAACGAGCGCAACCCUUAUCGUUAGUUGCCAGCGGGUAAUGCCGGGGACUCUAACGAAACUGCCGGUGUAAACCGUGAGGAAGGUGGGGAUGACGUCAAAUCAGCACGGCCCUUAUGUCCAGGGCUACACACGUGUUACAAUGGUCGGUACAGAGGGCAGCUACCACGCGAGUGGAUGCUAAUCUCGAAAACCGGUCUCAGUUCGGAUUGAAGUCUGCAACUCGACUUCAUGAAGCUGGAUUCGCUAGUAAUCGCGCAUCAGCCAUGGCGCGGUGAAUACGUUCCCGGGCAUUGUACACACCGCCCGUCAAGCCAUGGAAGCUUGGGGUACAUGAAGUCCGUAACCGCAAGGAGCGGCCUAGGGUAAGACAAGUGACUGGGGCUAAGUCG
rnacentral:rRNA from 1 species